rnacentral:rRNA from 1 species
GACGAACGCUGGCGGCGUGCUUAGCACAUGCAAGUCGAACGGAAAGGCCCUGCUUUUGUGGGGUGCUCGAGUGGCGAACGGGUGAGUAACACGUGAGUAACCUGCCCUUGACUUUGGGAUAACUUCAGGAAACUGGGGCUAAUACCGGAUAGGAGCUCCUGCUGCAUGGUGGGGGUUGGAAAGUUUCGGCGGUUGGGGAUGGACUCGCGGCUUAUCAGCUUGUUGGUGGGGUAGUGGCUUACCAAGGCUUUGACGGGUAGCCGGCCUGAGAGGGUGACCGGCCACAGUGGGACUGAGAUACGGCCCAGACUCCUACGGGAGGCAGCAGUGGGGAAUAUUGCACAAUGGGCGGAAGCCUGAUGCAGCAACGCCGCGUGCGGGAUGACGGCCUUCGGGUUGUAAACCGCUUUCGCCUGUGACGAAGCGUGAGUGACGGUAAUGGGUAAAGAAGCACCGGCUAACUACGUG